UAUAGCUCUUAUAGAUUCUGGCCAUCUAGC
rnacentral:piRNA from 1 species